rnacentral:misc_RNA from 1 species
GAUGAAGAACGUAGCGAAAUGCGAUAAGUAAUGUGAAUUGCAGAAUUCAGUGAAUCAUCGAAUCUUUGAACGCACAUUGCGCCCUCUGGUAUUCCGGGGGGCAUGCCUGUUCGAGCGUCAUUAUAACCACUCAAGCUCUCGCUUGGUAUUGGGGUUCGCGGUUUCGCGGCCCCUAAAAUCAGUGGCGGUGCCUGUCGGCUCUACGCGUAGUAAUACUUCUCGCGAUUGAGUUCGAUAGGUCUACUUGCCAGUAACCCCCAAUUUUUACAGGUUGACCUCGGAUCAGGUAGGGAUACCCGCUGAACUUAAGCAUAUCAAUAGCGGAGGA